rnacentral:rRNA from 1 species
UAGGGAAUUUUCGUCAAUGGGCGCAAGCCUGAACGAGCAAUGCCGCGUGGGUGAAGAAGGUCUUCGGAUCGUAAAGCUCUGUUGCGAGGGAAAAAGGAAGAGAAGAGGGAAUGAUUCUCUUUUGAUGGUACCUCGCCAGAAAGUCACGGCUAACUACGUGCCAGCAGCCGCGGUAAUACGUAGGUGGCGAGCGUUAUCCGGAAUGAUUGGGCGUAAAGGGUGCGCAGGCGGCAUAUCAAGUCUGAAGUGAAAGGUACGGGCUCAACCUGUACAGGCUUUGGAAACUGGUAUGCUCGAGGACAGGAGAGGGCGGUGGAACUCCACGUGUAGCGGUAAAAUGCGUAGAGAUGUGGAAGAACACCAGUGGCGAAGGCGGCCGCCUGGCCUGUAACUGACGCUC